UGUGAGGUCGGCCAACCGGCCACGUCGCUGGCCACCGAGGCUUCCAGUGCUUUCGGCCGACGCGUCACGCCAUCAAGGAGUCGCGCCGCACCUUCUUGCUGCCGCCGGCCUUAUCUCCCCCUGCCCUCUUUUCUCCCUCCCUCAUUUUGCUCUCCUCUCUGGGGUCAGGACAGAGCAGAGCACAAAGCAUGCACACGUGCCGCCACCGCUGAUACAAAUCCGCUGUGCCCCGACGAAAUCCCUCGAGCCCGAGCCGCAAGAACCCUGGAGGAAGGUCGCGCGGAGAGUCUUAGAGCAAAUCCCAGCGGCUCCCUCUCGAAUCCCCACCGAAUUUGGUGCGCCGGCCUCGUCUUCCCCGACUCCGGCGUCUCUCUCCGCCCUCACCGACGCACCGCCGGUCCGAAGCUCCUAUGCCCUAGCUGACCAUGCGUGAAUGACGAAAUAGAGAGUGACGUGGAAAAUAUCGAGAACCUGAUCUCGAAAUUGUUUGUGCAGCACCAAACAAGCAUCUAUCAUAUCUCUCCUAUAUUUUUAUGAAUUGUUGUCAAUUUGCUAGGUUUUGCUAUAUGUCGUAUAUGCAAGUCGAUGUCGAGAAUCGGGUAGAUCCUGUUUGUUGUAUCAUACCUACUUUGACAAAAGUUGUUAAUCCUGAUCCUUGUAGUUAGGGUAUAAUGUGUCAUGGUCUAACUUAAAAGUGAUGCGGUAAUUGCUUAGCUUUGCAUAGGUCCUUGGUAGAAGUUGAGCGGUGGUUGUCACCGUCGUUCACGAGCUACAGGAUUUUCAAUCACUGUUAUAAAGGAAUGGCAAGUUGGGAUGAUGAGUUGGUGAGAUUUGAGAUGAGAUGUGGGCGGGUAUCAGGGGUAGUUCGAGAGAGGAGACCCGUGUGUCAUAGAUCGCUUGCAUCGUUUAAGUACUGAUCGUUGGUGUCGUUGGUUUAAGCACUUUUCAUACUUACCAUAUGUCUAUUUAAUGGUAAGAUAAGCUGAUUAUCGUAUGCCGUGCUUACACUUGAUUUGCGGUCCUAUGAUGCGUAAGAAAAAGGAUGAGGAGAUGCAAGGUGGCAGGGAGCUAGAGGUGUUUGGGACACGCUCACGGUAACCCUGGUGUCAUAGGAGCAUGUGCAAGUAAAUAGUUUUGGGUAUGAGAAAAGUUAUCUUGUGGGUCAAGAGGAUGGACCCGAGUUGUGUGGGUAAAGAUGUAUUCUUACAGGGUGUAAUAUCAAUUCGAAUUGUUGCGCUCUCGGUCAUUAGCAUGCUUAAGUUUCAUUGGACAUCAGUCAUAGAGUUCCAUUCAGUGUGGGAAAUAGAAAGUAUGUGGGCUUUAGAAGCAUGUGCUGGUACUUAAUUGAGUUGAGCAAGUUUACUUCAUAAAAGUUUUUGUUUAUUGUUAGUCAAUGCUAGCUGUCCGGGUCAUCAUGUUGAUUAAAGUGCUUUUUCGCUAAAUCAAAUUAACUUUGUGGAUAUUUCUUACUAUUCAACUAAAUGUAUUAUCUUUGGAGUCGAGAUAGUAUAUAUCCAUAUUGUGUAAGUCUUACGUAUCUUUUAUAGUUAUGAUAGUAUAUACCCAUAUUAUGUAAGUCUUGCGAGUACCUUUGUACUUAAGGUGCUGCCUUUAAGUUGAUGCAAGUAACGAUGAAUUCGUGUAUAGCUACUUUUAUCCUGUCGAUGCCGGUGAUGGUCAGGAGUAGAGAGGAAUAUCUGAGUUAGUCCUGAUGGUGCCUUACCGGCGAUGACACCACUAGCCUUUUGUUUAUUUAUAUCUUUCCGGUGUGUAUGAAAACCUUGCUACUAAGUAGACAUAAUAUUUGUGAACAAGGUCUGUAAUAAAAGUUAAAACUUUUGCACUUUGUUUAUAUCUUGUGAUGAAACUAUGUUGUAAACGGUAUAUACUGAGAUCUUGGGCUUAAUUGAGCAUAUAUCAGGACUGUCGGAAUUACUCUCGUUUUAAUUGACUUAAUUGUCGUUUAAGCCGAGUGUAAUUUGAACGGGUCUGACAAUUCAAGUUCUGGUUAA